GAGUUGUACUAUUAUGUGAUGGACCGACACAUGUGACUUAGUUUAACCAUAUACUUUUUGUAAUGAGCUGUUUUGUUGGAUUUGAAUGAUUUGGAGAAGAAUAUUAAAUAGAGAUCAAAUCAAAGUGAAUAAAAGGAGGAGAGGACAGGUGUGGAGAGAGAUUGAGAAGUUUUAGAAAUGAUUGAGGAGGUGUCAACCAGUAACAGGGAAGACAACGUGGAGGUUGCAGACGGCGCACGUUUCUAUUUCUUUUUUCAACUUCUACACGCUUCUCUGCUCCUCUUUGGGCUCUCUCUGUCUCUCUUUGGGCCAUGUGUGUGUGUUUCAUGAAGAGACUAGAGAGUGUACUCAAGCUGGUAUUUGAGUGAUCUGUUGGGGGAGCUAACGAACACGGCAGUUGACAUGUGAAGUGACAGA